rnacentral:rRNA from 1 species
UACAGAGGUCUCAAGCGUUGUUCGGAUUUACUGGGCGUAAAGGGCGCGUAGGCGGCAAUUCAAGUCAUCUGUGAAAUCUCCGGGCUUAACUCGGAACGGUCAGAUGAUACUGCUUUGCUAGAGUGCGGAAGGGGCAAUCGGAAUUCUCGGUGUAGCGGUGAAAUGCGUAGAUAUCGAGAGGAACACCUGAGGUGAAGACGGGUUGCUGGGCCGACACUGACGCUGAAGCGCGAAAGCCAGGGGAGCAAACGGG